rnacentral:misc_RNA from 1 species
AAAGUGCGAUAAUUAGUGCGAUUUGCAUGAAUCUGUGAGUCAUCAAGUAUUUGAACGCAACUUGCGCUCCAUUUGGAGCAUGUCUGUUUGAGUGGUAUAUAAUCUAUAUGACUGUGCAUGUGUGUAUAUUCAUGAAUUGCUAGUCCAUUACGAGUCUAGUUAAAUAAAGAUUUUGUUUCUAUGGAAGGAGAGUCUUUCUUUAAAGUUAGAGACGUCAAGUCUUGUUUAAGGAAUCACCCUCCACGCCCAUACACCAUCAACACCCUCAAAUCAGUCAAGACUACCCGCUGAACUUAA